GCAACUUUCGGUGGUCUUCGUCCUAUUGAGCUCGAAUGUCCUUAGGGGCCAACGUCUAGUUGAUUUUAGUUAAGCUUAGGAUAUUUAUGCAAUGGGGUGAUUUUUGGGCUAAGGACGAGUGAUGAAAUCCUGACCUUAUCUUUUUAAAUGGGUUCAGCCCUUAGAAUAUUUUAUGCUGAUGCCUUAUACUAUAUGCAACAAUCAAGAAAUUUUUUUUAAUGUUUUAUGACAUGACAUUAAAUUUCAUUGAAUAGGUGAUCAAGCAAAUUAUUUAUUUAUUUUUUAAAUUAUAUAAGUUGAAGUUUGAAAUUUGAAUUCUGAA
rnacentral:lncRNA from 1 species